GUUCAUAAUGGCAAGUCCCAGUAAAGUACCCAGGAGUGACGGUGAGACGGUUGUCGGCCAUCUUCAUUGUGUGUCGCCUAUGAAGAUGUCGAAGAACAGCCGGCGAUAUUUCGAGGCCACCCUGCAGACGGGAAGGGAGGAAUUAAAUCGUGUUGUCUGCUUCUCCCCCGAGAAGCGGGACCAGUUCAUUCACGCGGCAGACAACAGGCAGGCGGUGAAAUUGGUUGCCACGCGAAAAAGCAUCAGCUACAGCAAUCCAGGGGGCUUCGACGUGUUGUGUCGAGCCAGAGCAGGCUUGAUGCGUUUGGGGACCUUCCCUUUACCCCAUAGGGCACCGAGCAGCACCUCUAACCGGCUGACCGUGGUCGACGUUUUGGGUUUGGGUCCCAGGCAGAGGGUGGGAGUCAUCGAGCUCAAGGUUCUUCAGCUCCUGGACAACAAGGUGGCGGAUUUCCAAGGAGGUUCGAUGGAGCUGAAGUGCUUUGAGGUUUGCGACGCAACCGGACAGACGGCGUUGAGUGUGUGGGAUCGGCUGAUCUCCACGGUCCAGCUCGGACAGCUCGGGUUUACACGGGUGUGACUCUGGCAUCUUCGUGGUUUGGGCGGGUUUUUAUUUGAGCGGGCGGGUUCCAAGAUGUGAUUGGGCUGGAAACUGUCAAUCUGAUCUGGCAACACUGCAUGCCUCCAUAAAUAGCCCAUGCCACUGCCUCAAGAUCUCACUUGGGAUACCCAGUUCAUAAUGGCAAGUCCCAGUAAAGUACCCAGGAGUGACGGUGAGACGGUUGUCGGCCAUCUUCAUUGUGUGUCGCCUAUGAAGAUGUCGAAGAACAGCCGGCGAUAUUUCGAGGCCACCCUGCAGACGCGAAGGGAGGAAUUCAAUCGUGUUGUCUGCUUCUCCCCCGAGAAGCGGUACCAGUUCAUUCACGCGGCAGACAACAGGCAGGCGGUGAAAUUGGUUGCCACGCGAAAAAGCAUCAGUGGGAGUCAUCGAGCUCAAGGUUCUUCAGCUCCUGGACAACAAGGUGGCGGAGAUCCAAGGAGCAUCGAUGGAGCUGAAGUGCUUUGAGGUUUGCGACGCAACCGGACAGACGGCGUUGAGUGUGUGGGAUCGGCUGAUCUCCACGGUCCAGCUCGGACAAUGCUACACCUUCUGGUCGUUGACGACCAGGAAGGAUGGGAGCCGCACCGUUUUGACCACUACACCGUCCACAUUGGUCACCGCCACCACGGUUGUAGGGCAGCCUUCUUCCCUCAGACUGGUGACUGUCACGGCCGAGGAGAUUCUGUGCGGGCCGGCGACCGGGGGUCAAGAUAGUCGCAAAGCCCAGGUGUCCAAGAUGCCACGCCGGACAGGACCAGUUGGCCAUCAAAUGUUCGACUCACCGCUGUGAGCGCUGCUCCAUGCUGCAGCGCACACCGGCUUAUCUGGUGACAUACUCCGGGGUGCUUAUUGUGGCACCCAGAGAUGUCAAUGAGCGCUCCAUGGCUUUAACAAACUCGGUGAUGGGGUUCGUCAGGGAGUUUUGUGUUGCGUGCAACGCCCAUGAUGGCCCAGCCCUGGAGGAAACCAUCAUGGCGUUGCCAGAGCUGGUUGUUUCUGUAAAUGCAGAAGGACUGGUGGUGCGCUUUGCUCCGGCCGUUGUUGUAAGCGAGGCUAUGGCCGAAUGCUCCCAGGGCGACAUUCCGGACGCAUAGGAGGCUUCGACGUCGUAUGCAAGGCACUCUGCGGGUUCGGGACAUAAAGAGGAUGUUGAAUAUCGGGUAGAUCUUCUGGAGGACUGAGAUUUUGUUGUGCUGUCGUUUGAUGGUGGUGUUUACUUUUGAUAUUGAACAAUAAACUUUAUGUUUUGAUUUAA
ensembl:lncRNA